rnacentral:rRNA from 1 species
GACGAACGCUGGCGGCGUGCCUAAUACAUGCAAGUAGAACGCUGAAGGAGGAGCUUGCUUCUCUGGAUGAGUUGCGAACGGGUGAGUAACGCGUAGGUAACCUGCCUGGUAGCGGGGGAUAACUAUUGGAAACGAUAGCUAAUACCGCAUAAUAGUAGAUGUUGCAUGACAUUUGCUUAAAAGGUGCAAUUGCAUCACUACCAGAUGGACCUGCGUUGUAUUAGCUAGUUGGUGAGGUAACGGCUCACCAAGGCGACGAUACAUAGCCGACCUGAGAGGGUGAUCGGCCACACUGGGACUGAGACACGGCCCAGACUCCUACGGGAGGCAGCAGUAGGGAAUCUUCGGCAAUGGACGGAAGUCUGACCGAGCAACGCCGCGUGAGUGAAGAAGGGUUUCGGAUCGUAAAGCUCUGUUGUAAGAGAAGAACGAGUGUGAGAGUGGAAAGUUCACACUGUGACGGUAUCUUACCAGAAAGGGGCGGCUAACUACGUG